AGUGAACGUUGGCGGCGUGGAUUAGGCAUGCAAGUCGAGCGAGAACCGUAGCAAUACGGGGACAGCGGCGAAAGGGACAGUAAUGUGUAGGUACCUACCUCCGGGUUCGGGAUAGCUGCGGGAAACUGCAGGUAAUACCGAAUAACGUCUCCGGACCAAAGGUGUGAUUCCACCUGGAGAGGGGCCUGCAUCCUAUUAGCUUGUUGGCGGGGUAACGGCCCACCAAGGCGACGAUGGGUAGCGGGUGUGAGAGCACGACCCGCGUCAUUGGACUGAGACACUGCCCAGACACCUACGGGUGGCUGCAGUCGAGGAUCUUCGGCAAUGGGCGCAAGCCUGACCGAGCGACGCCGCGUACGGGAUGAAGGCCUUCGGGUUGUAAACCGCUGUCGUAGAGGAGGAAGUGCAGGGGGGUUCUCCCCUCUGUUUGACCUAUUCUAGGAGGAAGAACGGGCUAAGUUCGUGCCAGCCGCCGCGGUAA
rnacentral:rRNA from 1 species